rnacentral:tRNA from 2 species
UGGGGAGUCGUCUAAUGGCAAGACGGCAGAUUCUGGAUCUGCUUAUAAGGGUUCGAUUCCUUUCUCCCCAGCCA